AAGGAAGGCAGCAGGCGCGCAAAUUACCCACUCCUNGCACGGGGAGGUAGUGACGAAAAAUAACAAUUCGGGACUCCUUCGAGGCCCCGUAAUUGGAAUGAGUACACUUUAAAUCCUUUAACGAGGAUCCANNNNAGGGCAAGUCUGGUGCCAGCGAGCCGCGUAAUUCCAGCUCCAAUAGCGUAUAUUAAAGUUGCUGCAGUUAAAAAGCUCGUAGCUGGAUCUCGGGUCCAGGCUGGCCUCAGAGGUUCGAAGACGAUCAGAUACCGUCGUAGUUCUGACCAUAAACGAUGCCAACUAGCAAUCCGCCGGAGUUGCUUCAAUGACUCGGCGAGCAGCCCCCGGGAAACCAAAGUUUUUGGGUUCCGGGGGGAGUAUGGUUGCAAAGCUGAAACUUAAAGGAAUUGACGGAAGGGCACCACCAGGAGUGGAGC
rnacentral:rRNA from 1 species